AAAAAACAAAGAAAUACUGCUUACUACACAGUUGGACUCUCUUAAAAGACUUAUAAAAGAAAAACAGGAUGAAGUUGUCUAUUACGAUCCAUGUGAAAGUCCAGAGGAACUUAGUCAUUGACUGUGGUGGGGCUGCAGGACGAUAAGAAUUUGGAAGUGAAAGAACUCAGAAGGCAGUGCCAGCAGCUGGAGUCUAUUAAACGGGGCAGGAUCUGUGUCAAAAGAGCUUCUCUCCAGAGUAGAAAGGAUCAGUGCAAAGAAAAUCAUUGGCUCAGAUUGCAACAGGCUGAAGAAAGCAUAAGAUAUUCUCGUCAGCAUCACAGUAUUCAGAUGGUGAGUGUCCUCCGAAGGAAAAUGUUCUAUGUUUGUGUAGCGUGACAUGCAGGCCUAGACUUGUGGAAACUGGAGUUGCG
rnacentral:lncRNA from 1 species